CCAUGCUAUCUGAAAUAUCUGAUUGGAUUUCAGAUUUAUCCAUUAACUUUUAAGUAUUUAGUAUCUUGAGAGAGAAUGAUUUUUAUGAAAGUUUUUAUUAUGUUAGGCGUUGCCUGCCUUUUCAUUCACAUAUCCCUCCCUUUAUAUAGGAAAGGAAGAUUUACUAUAGCUAUUUUACAAUCAUCUACUAUCUUCCACGUACUAUACUACUUUAUG
rnacentral:lncRNA from 1 species